UUGUUUGUCUAAUUUAUCAUGUUGUAUCAAAGUAAUAUUACUAAAAGUUUUAGGCAGCUACCAAACAGGGAGAUUCUACUGCCUGGGAAGAUAUUGGAAGCAUAAUGUACAUGGCUUCCAAAGACAAGACAACUUCAAGAUGAAGUCAGAAGAUGGCCAGGAAGGAGUUUAGCCUGAAGGACAAGCAAGAAUUAUAUAUAUUAUGCUGCAGUGAGUAUGAGACACCACACAGUGUUGGGUCCAUAGAUGGUGCAGUGUGUCAUGGACGGGAGAGAGAGGACUGACACGACUUUUUUUGGUGGUUCAACAUCAACAAUGAGGGCAUUCAAACAAUGACAAACAGGAAGGAGGUUCAAUCAAGGACAGCUCAAGUAUGCCAGUUUCUACUGCACUUUGAGGUGAAGAAGUGUGAUAAACGCAUCAUUAUGGUACUCUGGAAUUUCCAAUGUUCCGGACCAUCCAGUGCAAUAAUUAGUCUGGUAAAAUAGUUUAUGACUGAAGGAAAUAAAACUUGUAGGGGGAUAUAACGUAUCAAAAUUAUAUGAUCUGUAUAGAUUGUGUUUCCUGACAAAACUGUUCUGUGUAAUUUUUAUUUGUUAUCAAUACUAAUUAUAACAAUUUUUACUUGAAAAGGUAACAGUGAUGGGAGCCCCAGAGAUAAUAACAGCAGAAAUAAACCCCAAGACAAUAAUGAUGACUGGCACAUCCAACAUGAUCAUGGGAGCCAAUGGGUCUCCAGUCACUCACACAGCAACUCUCAGCCGACCACAACUGUUAAACUUAACUUUGCAUCAUGCUCCUCAAAGCAAGUCUCCAUCAGUUCUUCGCAAGUCCUAUUGAAGGAUUAGUUUUUUAGCGUUAAGUUUCUGUUUAUUUACUGAUAUAUGGUAAGUAUGUUCAUGGAUUAAUGUUCAAAUAAUCACUACUGUGUAGUGUAGAAAUCGGUGGAUUUUCCAUUUUUUAUAGGUAAAGAUUCUUGAGUAUGUCCUAGUCUGUGCCAAGUGGGUUUAAACAUGCAUUACAUUAAAUAGUUAUCUGUCUUACAUUAUUGUGUGGUUGGUAAAUAAUGUAGUAGUACAAGAUCACUGGUACCUUUUUUUGAGUACACAUAUACGGGGAUCCAGCUAGAACGAGUACUGUACUCUCUUUGCUGACCCAUAGGCGACUGCCUCGGGCCACCGAUUCCCCUCCAUCGGCAGGCCCAACAUAUCGUACCUCACACAUAAUUAUCUCACUAGACUCCAUAUUUUUGUCGUCACAUUAAUUUGAAAAAAAAAAAGAAUAAAUAAAUAAAUUAUACCAAAAAAAUUUUCAUUAAAA